rnacentral:rRNA from 1 species
CCUACGGGAGGCAGCAGUGAGGAAUAUUGGUCAAUGGACGAGAGUCUGAACCAGCCAAGUAGCGUGAAGGAUGACUGCCCUAUGGGUUGUAAACUUCUUUUAUAUGGGAAUAAAACGUUCCACGUGUGGGAUUUUGUAUGUACCAUAUGAAUAAGGGUAGGCUAACUCCGUGCCAGCAGCCGAGGUAAUACGGAGGGUCCGGGCGUUAUCCGGAUUUAUUGGGUUUAAAGGGAGCGUAGGUGGGUUGUUAAGUCAGUUGUGAAAGUUUGCGGCUCAACCGUAAAAUUGCAGUUGAAACUGGCAGUCUUGAGUACAGGAGAGGUGGGCGGAAUUCGUGGUGUAGCGGUGAAAUGCUUAGAUAUCACGAAGAACUCCGAUUGCGAAGGCAGUUCACUGGACUGCAACUGACACUGAGGCUCGAAAGUGUGGGUAUCAAACAGGAUUAGAUACCCCGGUAGUC